rnacentral:rRNA from 1 species
UUAGAGUUUGAUCCUGGCUCAGAUUGAACGCUGGCGGCAGGCUUAACACAUGCAAGUCGAGCGGAGAGAGGUAGCUUGCUACUGAUCUUAGCGGCGGACGGGUGAGUAAUACUUAGGAAUCUGGCUAUUAGUGGGGGACAACAUUUCGAAAGGGAUGCUAAUACCGCAUACGUCCUACGGGAGAAAGCAGGGGAUCUUCGGACCUUGCGCUAAUAGAUGAGCCUAAGUCGGAUUAGCUAGUUGGUGGGGUAAAGGCCUACCAAGGCGACGAUCUGUAGCGGGUCUGAGAGGAUGAUCCGCCACACUGGGACUGAGACACGGCCCAGACUCCUACGGGAGGCAGCAGAAGGG